GUGUCAGCCGCCGCGGUAAUACAGAGGUCCCAAGCGUUGUUCGGAUUCACUGGGCGUAAAGGGUGCGUAGGUGGCAGGGUAAGUUUGAUGUGAAAUCUCCGAGCUCAACUCGGAAACUGCAUUGAAUACUAUCCUGCUUGAGGAUUGGAGGGGAGACUGGAAUUCUCGGUGUAGCAGUGAAAUGCGUAGAUAUCGAGAGGAACACCAGUGGCGAAGGCGAGUCUCUAGACAACUCCUGACACUGAGGCACGAAAGCUAGGGGAGCAAACAGGAUUAGAUACCCUGGUAGUCCUAGCCGUAAACGGUGCAUAUUUGCUGUAAAAGGAAUCGACCCCUUUUGUGGCGUAGCCAACGCGUUAAAUAUGCCGCCUGGGAAGUACGGUCGCAAGAUUAAA
rnacentral:rRNA from 1 species